UCCGGUUUAUCACCGGCAGUCUCCACAGAGUCCUCGGCUUGACCCGUUAGUAACUGUGAACAAGGGUUGCGCUCGUUACGGGACUUAACCCAACAUCUCACGACACGAGCUGACGACAGCCAUGCAGCACCUGUCUCUCUGUGCCCGAAGGCAAAACCGACUUUCGCCGGCGGUCAGAGGAUGUCAAGACCAGGGUAAGGUUCUUCGCGUUGCGUCGAAUUGAACCACAUGCUCCACUGCUUGUGCGGGUCCCCGUCAAUUUCUUUGAGUUUUAAUCUUGCGACCGUACUCCCCAGGCGGGAUGCUUAACGCGUUAGCUUCGUCACUGAAAGGGUUAACACUUCCAACGACAAGCAUCCAUCGUUUACGGCGUGGACUAC
rnacentral:misc_RNA from 1 species